UACGGGGGGGGCAAGCGUUGUUCGGAAUUACUGGGCGUAAAGGGCUCGUAGGCGGCCAACUAAGUCGGAUGUGAAAUCCCCAGGCUUAACCUGGGAACUGCAUCCGAUACUGGAUGGCUUGAAUUCGGGAGAGGGAUGCAGAAUUCCAGGUGUAGCGGUGAAAUGCGUAGAUAUCAGGAGGAACACCUGCGGUGUAGACGGCUUACUGGACCAUAACUGACGCUGAGGCACGAAAGCGUGGGUAGCAAACAGG
rnacentral:rRNA from 1 species